UUUAACUACAACUCGAACACCCAAGGAUGUCAACUGUUGGAGUGGCCCGGUGACGAACUGGAAGCAGCGGCAGAGUUCUCUGUCUAUUUCAUUCAGACAAACUGUAAUAACAAUCCCUGCCAGCAUAAUGGGACCUGUCACGAAAACCUGAACUACAAGAAAGGGUUUAAGUGUGACUGUCCCCGAGGUUAUUGUGGGGAGAGAUGUGAACAAUUUUACUAUGACGUUACCUACGACGCUUGCACCCUUGGAAAAGACUUGAAGGGCGUAGAUGGAAACACCUUAGAAUAUUGUUUAGAGUGGUGUCUAGAAACACCUAACUGUCAUUCAGUAGACUUUGUUCACUCAAUAGCGAGAUGCGUUUUAAAUGAUGACGAUCACACCGAUAUUGGCCUUCAAGAGGGCUGUGCAGGGCAGAGUGAGGCUGCUUAUUACUAUAUAAAAGACGGAUGCGUUAAUUAAACUCUAGAUUUUUUUUAUCCCCACUUCUAAAUAUUUUACAUAAUGCACUAAUAUUACUUAAAUAGAUGCUUAAGAAAACUUAAUCUUUAGAUUGAUAUUUGAAGAUAGCAAUAAAUGAUUGAAUUUAUGCAUGAGGAAAAAUAUGAUUUUUUAUUGACGUAUAGAAGCAAUAAAAGUUCACGUGACUGUUUACGGAAAAAUAAAACUGGAACUUUACAUUUCUAAAAUUAGAAGUUUAAGAAUUUAUCACAUAAGAACCAUUUACACGACAUGAGCCUAUAAAGUCAUAACUAUUAAAGUAAAAUUUAAAUUUUCUUAUACCGAGUCUAGAAAUUGAA